CUUAAAAAUGUUUCAAGUGCUAUUAUCCACUGUAGUGUUCAAUCACAAAACUGUCGUAUGGAAUUUAGAAUCCGUUAACAUAAAAUGAUCAACCUGAUAUAUCACAAUGGAACCAGUGAAUUAAGUGCUCAAAAAUUUCACUGUAACACGAUAACAACAUACACAAAACAAGGAAUCAAGAUGGAUAAACAAAAAACAUGAUGGUGAUGAUGACGAAGAUAAUGAUGGUGAAGACGAUGGUGAUUAUUGUGAUAAUGGUAAUUAUGGGGACAGUGAUUGUGAUACAUAAUUAGACUGGUCCCUCUUCACCUUGUACACAUUGUUUAACUGAAAUGGUCAGGGAUAAUCACUUUCAGGAUAAUUUUCACUAAAUUUUGUGGUUUUAUUGUUUGGUGACAAUUUAAAGAUCAGGUGCUACGGUUUACUGGGGAUCAAAAAGUGCCACAGGAUAUUGACGUUCAACCGAAGGACCAGAAAAUAGACUGGACAAUGUGUUUGAUUUAGCGAAGGAUACAGAGAAGCUCAUGAAAUUAGACUUAUAACGAUGGAAAGGUUACGCUUGAUUCAAGUGUUGUCUUAAAGUGCGUCACGAAAUGUUCAAAGUGUGCAACAGGAUCGAAAAUUCAGAUAUUUUGACUCGUCUUCGAUAAUCAAUCUGAAUCCAUAUUUUGAUCGUUACAUUCUUAGUGAAUUAUGACUGACCUCACGUUUGAUGACAGUCAUUUUCGUCAAAAGCACCCGUCAAAUUAUGCGAGACUGCUUACGAUUAUUGCCUUGUAUUGUCAAAAAGUAAUGACGGAAUCUUUUGCAAAUCUAA